rnacentral:misc_RNA from 1 species
UCCGGCUUAUCACCGGCAGUCCCUCUAGAGUGCCCAACUAAAUGCUGGCAACUAAAGGCGAGGGUUGCGCUCGUUGCGGGACUUAACCCAACAUCUCACGACACGAGCUGACGACAGCCAUGCAGCACCUGUCUCACGGUUCCCGAAGGCACUCUCUCAUCUCUGAAAGAUUCCGUGGAUGUCAAGGCCAGGUAAGGUUCUGCGCGUUGCAUCGAAUUAAACCACAUACUCCACCGCUUGUGCGGGCCCCCGUCAAUUCCUUUGAGUUUCAGUCUUGCGACCGUACUCCCCAGGCGGCCAACUUAACGCGUUAGCUUCGACACUGAGAGCCAAGUUGCUCCCAACGUCCAGUUGGCAUCGUUUAGGGCGUGGACUAC